UAGGGAAUCUUCCGCAAUGGGCGAAAGCUUGACGGAGCAACGCCGCGUGAGUGAUGAAGGUCUUCGGAUCGUAAAACUCUGUUAUUAGGGAAGAACAAAUGUGUAAGUAACUAUGCACGUCUUGACGGUACCUAAUCAGAAAGCCACGGCUAACUACGUGCCAGCAGCCGCGGUAAUACGUAGGUGGCAAGCGUUAUCCGGAAUUAUUGGGCGUAAAGCGCGCGUAGGCGGUUUUUUAAGUCUGAUGUGAAAGCCCACGGCGCAACCGUGGAGGGUCAUUGGAAACUGGAAAACUUGAGUGCAGAAGAGGAAAGUGGAAUUCCAUGUGUAGCGGUGAAAUGCGCAGGGAUAUGGAGGAACACCAGUGGCGAAGGCGACUUUCUGGUCUGUAACUGACGCUGAUGUGCGAAAGCGUGGGGAUCAAACAGG
rnacentral:rRNA from 1 species